rnacentral:rRNA from 1 species
GACGAACGCUGGCGGCGCGCCUAACACAUGCAAGUCGAACGAGCGAGAGAGAGCUUGCUUUCUCGAGCGAGUGGCGAACGGGUGAGUAACGCGUGAGGAACCUGCCUCACAGAGGGGGACAACAGUUGGAAACGACUGCUAAUACCGCAUAAGCCCACGACCCGGCAUCGGGUAGAGGGAAAAGGAGCAAUCCGCUUUGAGAUGGCCUCGCGUCCGAUUAGCUAGUUGGUGUGGUAACGGCCCACCAAGGCGACGAUCGGUAGCCGGACUGAGAGGUUGAACGGACACAUUGGGACUGAGACACGGCCCAGACUCCUACGGGAGGGAGCAGUGGGGAAUAUUGCAAAAUGGGGGAAACCCUGAUGGAGCGACGGCGCGUGGAGGAAGAAGGUCUUCGGAAUGAAAACUCCUGUUGUUGAGGAAGAUAAUGACGGUACUCAACAAGGAAGUGACGGCUAACUACGUG